UACGGGGGGAGCAAGCGUUGUUCGGAUUUACUGGGCGUAAAGGGCGCGUAGGCGGCCACUGCAAGUCGGUUGUGAAAUCUCCGGGCUUAACCCGGAAAGGUCAAUCGAUACUGCAGGGCUAGAGCGCAGAAGGGGCAACUGGAAUUCUCGGUGUAGCGGUGAAAUGCGUAGAUAUCGAGAGGAACACCUGCGGCGAAGGCGGGUUGCUGGGCUGAUACUGACGCUGAGGCGCGAAAGCUAGGGGAGCGAACGGG
rnacentral:rRNA from 1 species